rnacentral:rRNA from 1 species
CCUACGGGGGGCUGCAGUAACGAAUCUUCCGCAAUGCACGAAAGUGUGACGGAGCGACGCCGCGUGUGGGACGAAGUUCUUCGGAAUGUAAACCACUGUCAGGGGUUAGAAAGUUCUGAUCAACCCCAGAGGAAGGCACGGCUAACUCUGUGCCAGCAGCCGCGGUAAGACAGAGGUGCCAAGCGUUAGGCGGAAUCACUGGGCUUAAAGCGUGUGUAGGCGGACUGGCAAGUGCUUUGUGAAAUCCCACGGCUCAACCGUGGAAUUGCUUGGCAUACUGCUGGUCUUGAGCCAUCUAGGGGCAACUGGAACAAAUGGUGGAGCGGUGAAAUGCGUAGAUAUCAUUUGGAACGCCAAUGGUGAAAACAGGUUGCUGGGGAUGUGCUGACGCUGAGACACGAAAGCCAGGGGAGCAAACGGGAUUAGAUACCCCAGUAGUC